rnacentral:lncRNA from 1 species
CCAUGUCUAGUACAUUGUCCAUAAGUACUUAUUCUGUCCGACCAAAGUAAAGAGUUAACAGUAGACGAUCACGUCUAGACUAUGGACACAUGCAAACACGAUUUGCAAAGACCCAAUAGUGAUCCCCGAGAACAAUAUGGUUCACAUUAUUUAGCACACAUGCUUUACCGGGACACUCGAUGUCAAGAGACAUGAGAAACGACCUAAGAGGUCAAAGUGGUCUAGAUACGGCUUAGUAAUGAACUUGGCCGAUUACUCCCUUC